UACAGAGGGUGCGAGCGUUAAUCGGAAUUACUGGGCGUAAAGCGUGCGUAGACGGUUAUUUAAGUCGGGUGUGAAAGCCCCGGGCUCAACCUGGGAAUUGCAUUCGAGACUGAAUAGCUAGGGUACGGUAGAGGGAAGCGGAAUUUCCGGUGUAGCGGUGAAAUGCGUAGAUAUCGGAAGGAACAUCAGUGGCGAAGGCGGUUCUCUGGGCCUGUACUGACGCUGAGGAGCGAAAGCGUGGGGAGCGAACAGG
rnacentral:rRNA from 1 species